UAGGUUGACAGUUCACGAUCAUUCGCUGAAACAACAUGAAGAUUUUUGGAGUUAUCAUCGCUGUUAUGGGCAUCGCCCUCGCUGCUGUCAGUGGCAUGACCACUGUACAGAAGGCUGGCUGCAAUGGCGGCUACGGACCUCCACCCGGCCCUCCACCAAGCAAUGUAACCAGCGAAUAAUUAACAACGACACGGCAACAUCCCCCUAUACCUUUGGCUUCGUUCAAUGUUACUGAUUAAAAGUUUAACAUGUUA